GGGCUAGGGCAGAAGGGGAGGAUUUCUCCACAAACCUCUUAAUAGUUACAUUGUAAAGUAUAGGGGAAUGUGCUAGAGGAGUGAGAUGCUUCUUAUUGCAGUCACAGUCUAUUGAGGAUACCCAGUUUUGUGCUCCCUUCCAGGACAGCUGGACAGUCCAUUUUUGCUGCUUUCUCUGUGGUCUGAUUGUGAUGGAGCAAGUUCAUCAUUUCCAUGACUACCAGUACCGUGUAUCGUUGUGUGAGGACACCAUGGCAAAGAGCAGGGGGACCCAUGUUAAAGAAGAUCCUCUUUCAAGCGACUUUGAUGGAGCCUGAAGUUUUGAUAACUGGUCCAGCUGUAGGAAUGGUACCACGCUCACUCAAAUGAAAUGGCCUGCAAUCAGCCUACACAAGAAACUUGCUCGAGUAUGCACAGAUAUCUUCUUUCUGACCAGAUGCCAGCAAAUGAAUAUCAUACACAAGGGACUCAGGUGACCAAUCCACUCUGUUCUACAUACCACACAGGCUAUUUUGACAAGCUGUACUUCACUUUCACUAGGAAACUGAGUGUUAGAUACAGCAAACAGGAACAGAUCAACACCAGACUUGCAGAACUUACAGAAUUCAGAACCACCCAGACAUAACAGCCAAGGAAAAUGUCUUUGCAUCUAGCCAUGAAGUUUAUCAUUAUCACAAACCCCUGAACUCCUUAAAGAAGAUGAAGGAAGCAAAACUUCCCAGAUUUGAAUGCUCCAAUAAAAGGCCUAUAAUGGCCACACCACCGCCACAUUGUAUCAGAAACCAGCUGGCUGCCACAGCCACCCUCACACCAUCAGCUUGCAUUUCUAAACACACCACUAGAUCCAAUGUCUCCAGCCAAGCUCUAUAUUACAACUCUGUCUGCUCUGAUCCCACCAACCGGGAUGCAUACCUGAAGGAUCUGGAGCAGGGAUUCUGACAAUUACAAUAUGCUCCUAGAACUGUAGCCCCUCAAAUCAACAUAUGAGUGGCUACUUUUGUGUCUGUUUAUGUUCUUUCACAGCAUCUGAUGAAGUGAGCUCAGGCUCACAGAAACUUAUACAUCUCUGAUUUAGUUAGUCUAUAAAGCACAAAUCUACCCUGCCUUUUGUCUGAUGUAGGCCUCACUGGAGCAUUGAUCAAUAUGUAUACUGCUCACACAAAGGUUUUGCUAAUGCAUUGACAAGAGUAGGCCUACCAGCAAACCUGACUGGUGCAUGAACUCCUCAUAAAAAAAACUCAUCAUGUGGGCCAGAUGGGCACUCCUGCAAGAAGAUGGGAGUGGGAGAUGGCUGUACAAGUUGUAGGAUAGUCCAGUACCAGGAUGAUAAGACUAGAACAGGAACACCCAGGUCAGGAUGUAA